rnacentral:rRNA from 1 species
CACGUAGGGCGCAAGCGUUGUCCGGAAUUAUUGGGCGUAAAGAGCUCGUAGGCGGUCUGUUGCGUCCGCUGUGAAAACUCGGGGCUUAACCCCGAGCCUGCAGUGGAUACGGGCAGACUAGAGGUAGGUAGGGGAGAAUGGAAUUCCCGGUGUAGCGGUGAAAUACGUAGAUAUCGGGAAGAACACCUGAGGCGAAGGCGGCUAUCUGGCGAAACAUUGACGCUAAGGCGCGAAAGCGUGGGGAGCAAACAGG